rnacentral:misc_RNA from 1 species
GAUGAAGAACGUAGCGAAAUGCGAUAAGUAAUGCGAAUUGCAGAGUUUUGUGAGUCAUCGAAUCUUUGAACGCACAUUGCGCCCGCCAGUAUUCUGGCGGGCAUGCCUGUUCGAGCGUCAUUACAACCCUCAGGCCCCCGGGCCUGGCGUUGGGGAUCGGCGGAGCCCCCCGUGGGCACACGCCGUCCCCCAAAUACAGUGGCGGUCCCGCCGCAGCUUCCAUCGCGUAGUAGCUAACACCUCGCGACUGGAGAGCGGCGCGGCCACGCCGUAAAACACCCAACUCUUCUGAAGUUGACCUCGAAUCAGGUAGGAAUACCCGCUGAACUUAAGCAUAUCAAUAAGCGGAGGA